AUUAAUGUGGCCUACCCUUCAUUUCUGGGAGACAAGAGAGACAUCGACCUCAUCAUAGCACCAGAAUACAGCGCAGGAAACAUGUUUGAGACUCUGACUCUUGCCAGAGACUACGCAGCCGAGGUGCAGAAGCCUUUCCCGGAGAUUGGUGAGACAGUCCUGCAGGACAGAGACUGGCCCAAGGACUGCUACGUGUUUGAAGGAAAAGGGAAGGAACCCACCAUCGUUUACAUGCCGCUCUUCAACAGACAAAACUGCAAAGAUGCAGAGGAGUUCAAAGCAAAGAUGGAGGAGUUCUCCACCUUCCAGCCCCCCUUCAACCAGGAGAAGAUCAAGUUUUUGUUGGAGACAGCCAAGGCUAACAUGAAGAACAACAAGGAAACUCUGCUGAGGGAGAUAAACAAAGCCGCCGUGCGCCGACAGAGCAAGAGGUCUCUGCUGUGCCCGGUCUCUGACUCUUGUCUGUAGGGUUUUGUGUGUUUGAUUUCAUAAUACAUCACAUUUUAUACUCAAUGGUUUGUUACCAAAGUGUUUCCUUACAGAGGAAGACAGACAGGAAUCAGAAAGGAGAGCUGGGUUCCUGCUGAAAAAAUCAAGCAAGUCAGAGUAAAGUCCCAUUUAAAAAAGAGGUCAUUUAAUUCUAACUUUAACCUCAGAGGAAAAUGUUUUUAAAAACCCGACAGUUCUACAAGGAUUUUUCCAGAAAACAGACAAUCUGUUGUUUUUUUUAAUUCCUCAAAAUGUAUUUUUACAGAAUUCUUGUGAAAAGUGAAAGAAAUGACGUCAUUAUUAUUCAUAUAAGUAUUGUUAUUAGACAGAACUGCACCAAGCCCAUAUUCGACAUAUAAUCGAUGUAAACGCC
ensembl:lncRNA